rnacentral:rRNA from 1 species
AUUGAACGCUGGCGGAAUGCUUUACACAUGCAAGUCGAACGGUAGAGGGGGCAACCCCUCGAGAGUGGCGAACGGGUGAGUAAUAUAUCGGAACGUGCCCAGUCGUGGGGGAUAACGUAGCGAAAGUUACGCUAAUACCGCAUACGAUCUACGGAUGAAAGCGGGGGAUCGCAAGACCUCGCGCGAUUGGAGCGGCCGAUAUCAGAUUAGGUAGUUGGUAGGGUAAAGGCCUACCAAGCCGACGAUCUGUAGCUGGUCUGAGAGGAUGAUCAGCCACCCUGGGACUAGGACACGGCCCAGACUCCUACGGGAGGCAGCAGUGGGGAAUUUUGGACAAUGGGCGGAAGUCUGAUCCAGCCAUUCCGCGUGCAGGAUGAAGGCCCUCGGGUUGUAAACUGCUUUUGUACAGAACGAAAAGGCUCUGGUUAAUACCUAGGGCUCAUGACGGUACUGUAAGAACAAGCACCGGCUAACUACGUGCCAGCCGCCGCAGUAA